rnacentral:rRNA from 1 species
AUUGAACGCUGGCGGCAUGCUUUACACAUGCAAGUCGAACGGUAACAGGCCGCAAGGUGCUGACGAGUGGCGAACGGGUGAGUAAUGCAUCGGAACGUGCCCAGUCGUGGGGGAUAACGCAGCGAAAGCUGUGCUAAUACCGCAUACGAUCUAUGGAUGAAAGCGGGGGACCGUAAGGCCUCGCGCGAUUGGAGCGGCCGAUGUCAGAUUAGGUAGUUGGGGGGGUAAAGGCUCACCAAGCCAACGAUCUGUAGCUGGACUGAGAGGACGACCAGCCACACGGGGACUGAGACAGGGGCCAGACUCGUACGGGAGGGAGCAGUGGGGAAUUUGGGACAAUGGGCGCAAGCCUGAUCCAGCAAUGCCGCGUGCAGGAUGAAGGCCUUCGGGUUGUAAACUGCUUUUGUACGGAACGAAACGGCCCUUUCUAAUACAGGGGGCUAAUGACGGUACCGUAAGAAUAAGCACCGGCUAACUACGUGCCAGCAGCCGCCGUAAUAC